AUGGUAUACCUGCGUCUGCAACCUCAUGCCCAAUCCUCAGUGGUAAAUCGACCAUGUAGGAAGCUGGCACUGAAGUAUUUUGGCCCAUACAAGGUCCUGGAAAAAAUCGGCAAUGCUGCGUAUAAACUGGAGUUACCAAAGGGGAGUCAAGUCCACCCGGUUUUCCAUGUGUCGCAGCUUAAGAACCAUGUGCCUGAUCACACGCCAGUGUUCACUACGCUACCAGUACCAAUCGAUCUCUCUGUGCCGGGGGUGUACCCUGAAGAAAUUCUGGACCGCAGGCUGGUCAAGAAGGGAAACGCUGCUCAUCUUCAAAUACUGAUCAAGUGGGCAAAGAUACCUGCUACUUCUGCCACCUGGGAGGACUAUGAAGUGCUCAAGGAACGCUUUCCAUCGGCACCAGCUUUGGGACAAGCUGGUUCUUCAGGGGCGGGUACUGUAAGUGACGGCGAGGCAAGAUCACACGCGAUCGCUGUAGCGAAGGCGCGAAGCGUUUCAAGUAUUCAUGGGCUGGCAAGCUGA
rnacentral:rRNA from 1 species